UACGUAGGUGGCAAGCGUUGUCCGGAUUUAUUGGGUUUUAAAGGGUGCGUAGGCGGCCCUGUAAGUCAGUGCUGAAAUAUCCCGGCUUAACCGGGAGGGUGGCAUUGAUACUGCAGGGCUUAGUACAGAUGAAGUAGGCGGAAUUGACGGUGUAGCGGUGAAAAUGCAUAGAUAUCGUCAAGAACACCGAUAGCGAAGGCAGCUUACUA
rnacentral:rRNA from 1 species